rfam:Aedes aegypti strain Liverpool supercont1.487 genomic scaffold, whole genome shotgun sequence.
AACGCUAUCUUAACGGAAAUGCUGUGCAGUACGAGAGGAACCACAGCUUCGAACCAAUGGCUCAAUACUAGUUCGACCGGACUUUGGUAUAACGCUACGUUCGUUGGAUUAUGCCUGAACGCCUCUAAGGUCGUAACCAAACCGAGCUGAUAGUGUCCCCUUAUAGGUCGUCGGUGAUCAUGUGGCAAAAAACCUACAAGACCUGCUAGCGUGAUCUCACGUUGGCAUCUUAUUGCAUGCACGCAGACAAAGCCCUCGCGCGCGGCGUCAUACAGCAAGUAUCUAAGAUACUGGAACGCUGGUGGCGCUGCUCAGCAUCAAUAUAUGAUUUCGAUACCUGAGACCCCCUACAAACGAUAGGUUUACAGGCUGGGAGUUGCGAGUUGCAGAGAGGUGUACAUUUCGAUCCUCUCAGACUACCCUUGCUUGGAGGUUG